ensembl:lncRNA
AACACUGUUUACCGCCUCAAGCCCAACUGUGAUCGAAGCUGGAGCCCCGCCCCUGCGCCCCUUUUGCUAUGCAGCACGCUUCACGGUGCUCUUACUGAUGGGUGCUACACGCGACGGGUGCUUCUUAGGCAAAACCAGUGUGCGAACCACCACAUCUGUGCCCCUCGCCCAAGAGGCGUGCCCACGAUUGGCCAGCUGGGCGCGCGUCACUGCCUGCCUCUUGGCUCCCCUAGGGUCGUGUGGGGACGGCCGGGUCGGUGCCCGGGGGCCCACCUUGUCUCUGGUGCUGCCAUCUGCCCUGGGUGUGCCUUUCCCCCAGUGCCUGCUGGACGUGCCCUCUGCUCACACACCUGUCCCUGUGCUUCCACACGCCUCACACCUUGCAUGUUGCACGGCUCUGCGCUCCAUUGCUGCUCCCCUCUGCUGUCCGGGUCCUCUUGGGUCAGGCAUCCUUGGUUCUGCCCCAGGGGGGCAUCGCCGUCCCUGCUGAGAAGGAAGGACUUCGUGCGAGAGCUGUCCCCGUCAGUGUCCCCAGCCCCCUCCAGGCCUGUCCCUUAGGUUCUGCUCGAGGCCUGGAGGAGGCAUGGGCCCCAGCAGCGCCCACUUGGCCCCAGGUGUUCCAGCUGCUCCUGGCCCUGGCAGAGGCCUGCCCAGUACAGCUGGUUGAGGGUGUGCAGUUGUGGGGCGGGGUGAAAGGCCCGCUUCCCGAGAAGCCUGGAGACCCACCCAGAGCCGUCGUGUGGGUAUGGCCGUCUGGCCUCCCUACAUCCUCAGGUGGACGGGAGUGGCUGUACUGUCCCUGGGCCAGGUGGCACGGCCUCCAGGGGACUGGUGCUGGAGUGGGCUGGCGUGCUCUGCAGGACCUGUAGGGACAGUGUCCUGCCCGUGUAUCCACGCCCCCUCGGUGCUCGUGCCUGGCGGCCUGGGCGUGCUCUCCCCCUGGCCAGCACCCGGCGCCUGUCCUCGAAACACAGGGUCCCCGCUGAGGAGCACCAGGUGGCCAUAAAGUGUGUGUGCCCAGCGCACGCCUCUUACUUACAAAGUGACAACAUUCCUGGGACGUGGUUAUCCUGCGCUUUAAAGAAAACUGCUUCGUCCUCUGUGCAGCAGCCUCGGUCUGGGUAGCCGCUCCGUGUCCGUCACACUGCCACUGUGGCUGCCCUGUGCCACCAGGGCGGUGGUGCAGGCUGGAGGCCUGGCCUCUGGCUCCAGGGCUUUCAGGGGGGCACGUGAGAGUCGCUGAAAGUCAGGCCAUCUGUGCCGUCGAGGCCGGGCUGUGGUGGUAAAGCUCGCAGGCCAGGGACGCUGGGGCCCUGGGGCCCAGAGUCUGCUCAGAGGAGCUGGGUGACGCCACGGAGGCCGGUGGGAGGUGCAGCGUCACGAGACUCAGGGCCUGGCCGAGCUGGACGAGGUGUGCACUCCCACGCGGGUGGCUGGAGCUGCUGCAAGGGCCGCGUGCUGGUCCCAGAGCAGCCCUGCCGCACGGUGCCUGCCACGACCCCCGUGGCACGGUGUCACCUGGCCCACCUGCUGCUAAUGGGUGUUUCCUCGGUUGUCUUCCUGCCUCUGCCCAGUCCCAGUUUCUCCCUCGGCCGGUGACCCUGGGGACCAUGGGGGCUGUGCCCCAACCUGGUGUCCCCGCCAGCCUCGGGGAGGACAUGGGCGCCAGGCACAGCCUGUGGGGACUCCUGGGUGGGCGUGUGCCCCACAGUCAGCAUGGCCAGCCAGGGGCCUCAGCUGGUGGGUGACGCCCGCAGAGGGGGGCAGCCCCGAGAGACCAGACCCCGGUGCCAGCGCCUGGCGCGCUCGGGCUCACUGUGAGCAGGUCAGAGCACAGACUCCCCGGGGCCUAGCCAGUCCCCAGUCCCACACCUGCCCCUCUGCCCGAGGUCAUGAGCAUGCUGGGAAGGGCUCCCGGGCCUUGGAUGCUACUUUUUUUUACUUACGGUGCAGAUCUUCGCGGACCAGGCUGCAGGAGAGCAGAGCCGGGGUUCUAGGCACGCCUGUGUCGCGCGUGAGUGAGGCCGCUCACCCAGUCUGCUUCUCAGCCGGCCGCGCUUCUGUCAUCUUCUCUUUGCAAAUCUCCAUAACUAUCUUCUCCAAAGUCCACGCCCCGCGGGUCCGGGUCAGGCGAGGUUGGUGCCAGCGGGUGACCCAGUCACUGAUGGUCUCGUCCCGGCUGGUGCUGGCUGGUGGGCACCGUGGGAGCCUGGUCAGGGGGCCUGUCCAGUGGAUUUCCCUUGCCCGCUGUGCUCCGAGCACCAUCACCAGGCAGGGAGGGCAGCACAGUGUCACCCAGCUGGGUGACCCCAGUGUCCCCUGGGCGUCGUGCGCGAGCUCACCCUUCCCCGCUGCGCCUCAUCUGAGUGCGCUGCAGGCCAAGGGGAAAGUCCAGGGCUGUACGACUCCUAUAACUAGCCUGACUGGUUUUACCACUUAGUCCCCUUAGACAAGUUAGAUGACCUUCAACCACAACUCAAUGACUUGAUUGGAAAACACAAAAGCCGGCUUAUUCCAAGGAUUUCCCUCAGAAUCCCUAGGACCUCCGUGAUCGCGGAAGCGUGCAGUGGACCGAGACUCCCUAGGCCGGUUCUAGUGACCGCUCGCUGUGCGGCCCCAGCUUGAUUCCAAGUGAUGGUGACCAGUGAUUCGCGUCCCGUGUUCCUCCGCUCUUCUAAGAAAAAAGACAGUGUGAGUUAUUGCUCAGCAAUAAUCCUGUCAUUCCUGGGGGUUAGCAACAUGUCUGAUUUCCUGAUAGCAUUAUUAUGUUUUCUAUUUCUGUUUUCUGUAUAUCGUGUGUGGUUUUAUUUGGUAUUUAUUUGUGUUUUGAGGUCUUGUGAUGUUUUUGUGUUUUUGAUGCUAAUAACUGAAGUUUGUAAGACUGUAGAAUGCUGAAACUUGGAAAUGCUAAACUGUUAUUAGAGAAAAAUAAACGUGAUUAAGAGUCCUGGUUCCUUCUCGCCCUGUCUUUACUCCCAGGCUUGGGUGAGGGUCCUGUCGCCUGUGCUUGGCCAUCCUGACACCACGGAAGGGCUCGAACCCGGCCUGCCCAGCUCACCCCGGGGCCUGCAGAUCGGGACAGCUUAGAGCAUGAAAAGCACCUGAG